UGAGACUUCCAGAAGAUGCCACCAACUGGU
rnacentral:piRNA from 1 species